AACGUAGGAGACAAACGUUAUCCGGAGUUACUGGGCGUAAAGGGCGCGUAGGCGGCCUUCUAAGUCGAACGUGAAAUCCCCGGGCUCAACCCGGGAACUGCGUCCGAUACUGGAAGGCUUGAAUCCGGGAGAGGGAUGCGGAAUUCCAGGUGUAGCGGUGAAAUGCGUAGAUAUCUGGAGGAACACCGGUGGCGAAGGCGGCAUCCUGGACCGGCAUUGACGCUGAGGCGCGAAAGCCAGGGGAGCAAACGGG
rnacentral:rRNA from 1 species